rnacentral:rRNA from 1 species
UACGUAGGCAGCGAGCGUUGUUCGGAGUUACUGGGCGUAAAGGGUGUGUAGGCGGUUGUUUAAGUUUGGUGUGAAAUCUCCCGGCUCAACUGGGAGGGUGCGCCGAAUACUGAAUGACUUGGAGUGCGGGAGAGGAGAGUGGAAUUCCUGGUGUAGCGGUAGAAAUGCGUAGAUAUCAGGAGGAACACCUGUGGUGUAGACAGCUUACUGGACCAUUUCUGACGCUGAGACACGAAAGCGUGGGUAGCAAACAGG